AGCGGGCGCGUGAAUUGCCCGAAUCCUGACACAGGGAGGUAGUGACAAGAAAUAACGAUACAGGGCUACAUCUAGUCUUGUAAUUGGAAUGAGUACAAUUUACAUCUCUUAACGAUGAUCAAUUGGAGGGCAAGUCUGGUGCCAGCAGCCGCGGUAAUUCCAGCUCCAAUAGCGUAUAUUAAAGUUGUUGCAGUUAGAACGCUCGUAGUCGGAUUUCGGGGCAGUCCGACCGGUCUGCCGAUGGGUAUGCACUGGUCGGAGUGUCCUUUUUGCCGGAGACCGUGCCUACUCUUAACUGAGCGGGGGCGGGAGACGGCACUUUUACUUUGAAAAAAUCAGAGUGUUUCAAGCAGGCGGUUCGCUCUUGCAUGGAUUAACAUGGGAUAAUGAAAUAGGACUUUGGUGCUAUUUUGUUGGUUUCGAACACCGAAGUAAUGAUGAGAAGGGACAGUCAGGGGCACUCGUAUUCCGCAGAGAGAGGUGAAAUUCUCAGACCCCGCUGAAGACGAACCACUUGCGAAAGCAUUCGCCAGGGAUGUUUUCACUGAUCAAGAACGAAAGUUAGGGGAUCGAGGAUGAUCAGAUACCGUCGUAGUCUUAACCAUAAACCAUGCCGACUAGGGAUUGGAGGAUGUUCACUGAUUGACUCCUUCAGCACCUUACGGGAAAUUAAAGUCUUUGGGUUCCGGGGGGAGUAUGGUCGCAAGGCUGAAACUUAAAGGAAUUGACGGAAGGGCACCACCAGGUGUGGAGCCUGCGGCUUAGUUUGACUCAACACGGGGAAACUUACCAGGUCCAGACAUUGUGAGGAUUGACAGAUCGAGAGCUCUUUCUUGAUUCGAUGGGUGGUGGUGCAUGGCCGUUCUUAGUUGGUGGAGUGAUUUGUCUGGUUAAUUCCGUCAACGAACGAGACCUUAGCCUGUUAAAUAGUGACGCGAACUCUUUGUUGGCGGGCCACUUCUUAGAGGGACAACUUGUCUUUAACAAGUGGAAGUUUGAGGCAAUAACAGGUCUGUGAUGCCCUUAGAUGUUCUGGGCCGCACGCGCGCUACACUGAUGCACUCAACGAGUCUCUACCUUGACCGAAAGGUCCGGGAAACAUUCGAACUUGCAUCGUGAUGGGGAUAGAUUAUCGCAACUAUUAAUCCUCAACGAGGAAUACCUAGUAGGCGCAUUCAUCAGCGUACCUGAAAG
rnacentral:rRNA from 1 species